UACGUAGGGUGCAGGCGCUAAUCGGAAUUACUGGGCGUAAAGCGUGCGCAGGCGGUUUCUUAAGUCAGAUGUGAAAGCCCCGGGCUUAACCUGGGAACUGCGUUUGAAACUGGGAGACUUGAGUGUGGCAGAGGGGGGUGGAAUUCCACGUGUAGCAGUGAAAUGCGUAGAUAUGUGGAGGAACACCGAUGGCGAAGGCAGCCCCCUGGGUUAACACUGACGCUCAUGCACGAAAGCCAGGGGAGCGAACAGG
rnacentral:rRNA from 1 species